ACUGGCCGAAAACGAGUCGCAUUGUAGCAACUUCACCUAAAAACAAAGCUUACGCACACAAUUCUGUGGGAGCUGUGACGUUAGCGUUCUGCAGUUGAGCAGUGCUAUCUGUGGUAGAAGCAGUGUUUCAUGUUUGGAAGCGUGGUCACUGCAUUGGUUUGUUUUCGUAGCAAUGACUUGUAACAUUUGUGACGGAAAUCUUGUUCUCACUGUCAUAUGCGAUUCGGAUUGUUAUUGAGCAUCUUGUCAAAAUGCCACGCAAGUGCUGUAUGCCCUAUUGUAGGGGAAACUACGACAACGGUUUAAAGGUUAGCGUCUUAUCAUUCCCGUCUGAUGAAGCAUUAAGAUUGAAACGGAUCGCUGCAGUUCGUAGGAAUGACUGGGGACCCAGUACACAGUUCGUUAUAUGUGAACUGCAUUUCACUGCAGACGUCAUUGUUAAAAUUACCAGUGCUUACGACCCAAAACUGGCAAACUCUUUACAGUUUACAGCACCUUUGGACCGUCCACGUUUAAAGAAACGUUCGUGAAAAUUUGUCGUAAAGGAUGCUGUACCAUCAAAGUUGCCAGGAAGACGUACGUAUUUAUCUUCAAAACAAGCACCAGCUCGAGAAGAUCCAGAGGGUCGCGAACGUUUGGGGAACCAAGCACUUGAGAAAGUCAUUGAGCAGAGUGUGGAAUCACACAAAAAAUGAUGGAGAAGAGUUCAUUUGCUAGUUUAGAAGAUUUUAAAUCAAAAUUAUCUGAUUGUGAAAAGCACAGUGACUGGGUCACGGGUGUUAAAGGAUGCUCCUUAUCUAAGUGUUGUGUGUCAUGUCGUUAUAAAUAGAUUUAGUGUUAAGUGCAUUUGUGAAGGAAGCUGAGCUGAAUUGUGCUGGUAAGAUUAAAUUACCAAACCAAGUAAGUGAUACUGGUACAGUUAGCAAUAUUUUGAAAGAGUUGUAUGUGAUGUUUCAUAUAAAUGAGGCUCCAUUUGAGGCAAGUUUGUCUUGCAUUGAAGACAUUUUGGAAAACUUGUAAGAAAAAUUACCAGAAAGUGAGCAUAAAAUUAAAUUUUUGAAGGAACAAGUUUCGUUUCCAAGAUUUAAUAGUCCAACACAGAUUAGGUACGGGAGUGUUUCAAUGAUUUUAUGGUCAGUCCACAUGCAUAUAGGUUUUUGAGGAGUGCUCGUAAUUUUUCCAUUUCCAGUCCCAGUACUUUGUCAAAACUUUGCAGUAAAAUUCCAACUAACCCAAUCAUUGAGCAUCAGAGUCAGCAGUUUCUCAGUUACAUACCACAAAAAGUUGGUGCUUUAUCUGUGAAUGAUAAAACUGUAAUGUUGAUGGAUCAGAUUUAUUUAAAGUCACAACCUGACUAUAAAGGUGGCAAUGUUGUAGGUGGUGCUUUUAACACAGAUGUGGUUUUGUGUGCAACUAGUGCUUAUGUUUUUAUGAUCCAGAGUAUGGAUUCAGUGUACAAAGAUGUGGUGCAUAUUCUCCCAGUUCACACAAUUCAAUUAAACUAGAAGCAGUGGGAUUUCAGGUAAUAGUAGUAGCUGACAAUAAUGCUAUUAAUAAGAAAGCUAUUUCGUACUUUUCUUCCCCCCCCCCCCUCCCUCCUAGUGUACAGAUAAAAUAUGUUCAUCCUGAGCAGACUUCUGCAGACCGCCCAAUUUACUAUUUUGUAGAUACUGUACACAUUUUAAAAUGUAAAUGGAACAACUGGGAUAAUGAAAAGGACCAAAUUAUAUGCUUUCCUUCUUUUAGUGAUAGCUUGAAGGGAGGUCUUGCUUCUGUUAUAGCACUGAAGGAACUACAUUUACUAGAAAAAG